CUUAUAACUACAGACUCCAAAACACUUCUAUACUAUCUGAACUUGGAAAUUGGAUUAAAACUGAAACACUAAUAGCAGUGCCUUUCUCAACAGGUCAAACCCACACUUUCACAAUGGGGAAUCCUCUCCAGCCUGGCGAAUUUCAAAUCUCACACCAAAUUUUUUUAUAUAAGGACCAGGCUAUCGCUAGGAAAUCAGUUUUAUUACAUAUUUA